rnacentral:rRNA from 1 species
UACGUAGGUGGCGAGCGUUGUCCGGAAUCAUUGGGCGUAAAGAGCGUGUAGGCGGCUCGGUAAGUCCGCUGUGAAAGUCCAGGGCUCAACCCUGGAAUGCCGGUGGAAACUGUCGAGCUAGAGUCCGGAAGAGGCGAGUGGAAUUCCUGGUGUAGCGGUGAAAUGCGCAGAUAUCAGGAGGAACACCAAUGGCGAAGGCAGCUCGCUGGGACGGUACUGACGCUGAGACGCGAAAGCGUGGGGAGCAAACAGG